UCCACACGAGUGUUUACUUACUUGGAAGC
rnacentral:piRNA from 1 species